UAACCGUAGCCGAGAGGCUACGCUGAACCGGCAGGAGUCAGCAGAGGCCAUAGUACGUAAGCUGUUGCAACAGCCUACGGAAGGGC
rfam:Paenibacillus yonginensis strain DCY84 chromosome, complete genome.